rnacentral:rRNA from 1 species
GCCAGAGGACGAGCUUGCGUCUGAUUAGCUAGUUGGUGAGAUAAUAGCUCACCAAGGCAACAAUCAGUAGCUGGUCUGAGAGGAUGAUCAGCCACACUGGGACUGAGACACGGCCCAGACCUCUACGGAGGGCAGCAGUGAGGAAUUUUCCGCAAUGGGCGAAAGCCUGACGGAGCAAUGUCGCGUGGAGGAAAUGACGGCUCUUGGGUUGUAAACUCCUUUUCUCAAAGAAGAACACAAUGACGGUAUUUGAGGAAUAAGCAUCGGCUAAAUUUUUGGCCUUUAAAGAAGUGAUUCUUUAGUAAAAACUUGGCCAUAACGGUGAAGUCCUAAAAAAUGGAUAAUACCGUGGGUAAUUUUUUUUGAAUAUGGAACUGACAAAUAUAGAACAUAAUAUUAUUUUAGGAACUCUCUUGGGUGAUGGUUUUCUACAAAAACGUUUAAAAAAAGCACGACUUCGCAUAAGUCAUUCUAUAAAUCAAAAAGAAUAUGUAGAUUGGAAAUAUUCUAAAUUACAACGUUUAUGCGAACGAACAAAACCACCUCAAAUUCAAAAGCUUAAAUUAGGAACAUGUUAUUAUUUUUCAACACAAUCUGAGAAAAUAUUAUUACAUUAUCAUGAUUUAUUUUACACAGCAGUUCAAACUUCGGGUCUUAUUAAAUAUCGUAAAAGUAUAACUCCUCAACUUUUAAAUUUUAUUACAGAUCCUUUAAGUUUAGCUGUAUGGUGGUUAGACGAUGGAAAUGUUCGAACAGAUUGUUUUGCUGGACGUUUUGCUACUCAAUGUUAUGUCUUAGAAGAACAAAAAAUUUUGCAAAAAAUACUUUUAGAAAAUUUUCAAAUUCAUAGUAAUAUUGUUCGUCAUUCAGUGAAAAAACAACAAUAUUAUUUAUAUAUUUCUGGAAAAAAUAAUAAUUUUGCUACUUUUGUUGAUUUGAUCACUCCUUAUAUCAAUCAUAUUCCUAGUAUGAAGUAUAAACUAGGUAAAAAAAAACCCGUAACGACUAAAGAUCUGAGAUCUGCGAUAAAUGGAUAAAUGUCUGCACUCCAGCCUGUGGGCUGGAGUGUUUUUGUAUGAAUAAAAUGAUUAUAUUUUUUCGAAAUCAGAAAUUCACCAUUUAUAAUAUGCCAAGCUCUAGUUCGCCUUUCUAUAGGUGAGACUAGAUGAAAGUAUAGUCUAUGCCCUAAGAAAUUAGGGAAUACAUGAACUCUGUGCCAGCAGCCGCGGUAAGACAGGGGAUGCAAGCGUUAUCCGGAAUGAUUGGGCGUAAAGCGUCCGAAGGUGGUUUUUAAAGUCGACUGUGAAAGUUCAGAGCUCAACUUUGAAAAUGCAGUCUUAGAUACUUAAAAACUUGAGUUUGAUAGGGGUAGAGGGAAUUCUCGGUGGAGUGGUGAAAUGCGUAGAGAUCGAGAAGAACACCGGUGGCGAAAGCGCUCUACUGGAUCAAUACUGACACUCAGGGACGAAAGCUAAGGGAGUGAAUAGGAUUAGAUACCCUAGUAAUCUUAGCUGUAAACGAUGGAGACUCAGUCUUGGUUUUUU